UUUUCAACUAAAGUUUAGGAUUAAAAAUACUUUCAAAAAUAAGUUAGGCUUGAUAUAUUUUUUUCACACCUAACUUUUUUUGAAAAUUAAAGGUUGUACUAGGCAAAUAAAUCAUGUAACGUAUGUCAUGUUAAAACAAGAAGAGAAAGAUGGGUUUGCCCAUCGGCUUGCAUUGAUGCUGCCAAUCAGACGUGAUUUGGAAGACUUGCCGUUCUUGAUUUGUAUUCUCCGCAUGCAAAGCUUUCCAUCGCGCACUCCACUAGCUGCCAACAGAUCAGAGAUGCGUGAUAUCACCGUUCACCUAAUACAAAUAGCUAUGCCCAUUUGAUGAAGGUUAGGUAUUUCUUGUCGUAUCAAUUAGCUUUUUGUCGUCAGUGGCCAGCGGUGAUCACCGAGCAUCAAGCACAACGAACUCCUGAAAAAUGUUCCAGACGAGUAUCAACUCGGAUUAAUUUCAUCUACUAUUGCGUCUCUCAAUUUUAAACUUUGUAAAACCAAGCUCAAUAAUUUAAUUUUAAAACAGUAUUGUAUUUAAUUUUGAUUGACCGAAUUAUAGUUUGA
rnacentral:misc_RNA from 1 species